AGAUGGGCUUGCGUCUGAUUAGCUAGUUGGUGUGGUAAAGGCAUACCAAGGCAACGAUCAGUAGCCGGACUGAGAGGUUGAACGGCCACAUUGGGACUGAGAUACGGCCCAGACUCCUACGGGAGGCAGCAGUCGGGAAUAUUGCGCAAUGGAGGAAACUCUGACGCAGUGACGCCGCGUAUGGGAAGAAGGUUUUCGGAUUGUAAACCAUUUUAGACAAGGAAGAAACAAGACAGUACUUGUAGAAUAAGCUCCGGCUAACUAC
rnacentral:rRNA from 1 species